GAUGAACGCUGGCGGCGUGCCUAAUACAUGCAAGUCGAGCGAACAGACGAGGAGCUUGCUCCUCUGACGUUAGCGGCGUACGGGUUAGUAACACGUGGAUAACCUACCUAUAAGACUGGGAUAACUUCGUGAAACCGGAGCUCAUACCGGAUAAUAUAUUGAACCGCAUGGUUCAAUAGUGAAAGACGGUUUUGCUGUCACUUAUAGAUGGAUCCGCGCCGCAUUAGCUAGUUGGUAAGGUAACGGCUUACCAAGGCAACGAUGCGUAGCCGACCUGAGAGGGUGAUCGGCCACACUGGAACUGAGACACGGUCCAGACUCCUACGGGAGGCAGCAGUAGGGAAUCUUCCGCAAUGGGCGAAAGCCUGACGGAGCAACGCCGCGUGAGUGAUGAAGGUCUUCGGAUCGUAAAACUCUGUUAUUAGGGAAGAACAAAUGUGUAAGUAACUAUGCACGUCUUGACGGUACCUAAUCAGAAAGCCACGGCUAACUACGUG
rnacentral:rRNA from 1 species